UUCAUGGAGAGUUUGAUCCUGGCUCAGGACGAACGCUGGCGGCGCGCUUAACACAUGCAAGUCGAGCGAGAACCGGAGCUUCGGCUCCGGGGACAGCGGCGAACGGGUGAGUAACACGUGGGUAAUCUGCCCUCGGUUCUGGGAUAGCCCGGGGAAACUCGGAUUAAUACCGGAUAGCCUCUCUGGCCUUCGGGCCGGCGAGAAAAGGUAGCUUCGGCCUCCGACUGAGGAUGAGCCCGCGGCGGAUUAGCUUGUUGGCGGGGUAACGGCCCACCAAGGCGACGAUCCGUAGCUGGUCUGAGAGGACGAUCAGCCACACUGGGACUGAGACACGGCCCAGACUCCUACGGGAGGCAGCAGUGGGGAA
rnacentral:rRNA from 1 species